UUCUUCAUGUGGUCAGGGUUCUGCCUGGCCUGGUUGUUCAUGUGGUCAGGGUUCUGCCUGGCCUGGUUCUUCAUGUGGUCAGGGUUCUGCCUGGUUGUUCAUGUGGUCAGGGUUCUGCCUGGCCUGGUUCUUCAUGUGGUCAGGGUUCUGCCUGGUUGUUCAUGUGGUCAGGGUUCUGCCUGGUUGUUCAUGUGGUCAGGGUUCUACCUGGCCUGGUUCUUCAUGUGGUCAGGGUUCUACCUGGCCUGGUUGUUCAUGUGGUCAGGGUUCUGCCUGGCCUGGUUCUUCAUGUGGUCAGGGUUCUGCCUGGUUGUUCAUGUGGUCAGGGUUCUGCCUGGUUGUUCAUGUGGUCAGGGUUCUACCUGGCCUGGUUCUUCAUGUGGUCAGGGUUCUACCUGGCCUGGUUCUUCAUGUGGUCAGGGUUCUACCUGGUUCGGUUGUUCAUGUAGUCGGGGUUCUACCUGGCCUGGGGUUCUUCAUCCGGGCGUGAUCAGGGUGACGAGGCAUACCAUGUGUGAGCGUGAUGACAUGGGGAUACGCACUUAUUAUACAUCACAACAUUUUAGGAAAUGGUCCUUCAAGCUUGAAAGACGGCGACGUGGCUGCCCUUUCUAGCCCCGACAUGAUGGUUGGCUGGCAGGCCCUGUGGAUCGUAUCUUCUGGACUCCUGUGCUGGGAUGCAGGUUUUUCUUGGGCUGAAUUGCAAUGCAUUUGUCGAUGCUAGCUGGACCUGGGAGUUGGGUCCCCCUUUGAAUCAGAAACCAUCUUGGUAACAUCCCAACUAGGGUUCUCUUCAUGCUGUAACCAAGCUCUUCUUCAGCUGAGGAGGAAAAGAAAUCCUCGCUGGGGCUUCAAGAUCUAUGAAGAGGAAUAUUGAAAUGUGUGCAAUGGUUCCCUCCCGUAGGCGCUGUGGUGUAUUCUAGUCGCUGAGAAAGAGCCCUCGCAUCCUACCCAUGGCGUCUCUCCUUGGGGAGUCCCUGUCACAGUCUUGACGGAUGUUCCAGGUCAUGUAACUGAUGCAACAGCCCUUUUGAACACUGUUUCUCCGGAGGGGGGCACGUCUACAGAACAGUAGACUUCAGACAGCACAGUAUCCUAACAUGCAUCUCUGGCCACUCGGACCACACCCGGAUCAAUAUGACAAUGCUCAUGCGAUGUGAAGCGAGGAAGUAGCCAAAAGACAGAUUAGUUAGCUUUUUUUGUACACUGGCAAGCAUUGUUAAUUGGUAGGUAAUUAGUUAAAUGGGGUAACUGAAAUGUUUAGUCAAAAUGAUUUGUACAUAAACCAACAGCAACAAACUACCAGAUCGCCUCAAGGUAAGUCUGUUGGCUGUAUUUUGCACUGAGACGACCACAAGAUCUUCAUCGUCGUUCAGCUCAAGGUGAGGUGCUGGUUACGUUACUUAGGGAUGGUUCGUACCGGAACGUUACGAUUCCAGUAUGACGGGGCUUGGGGUUUCUGUAGAGGUUGGUAGUUAGUUUUGUGCAGUCUGUGAAGCUCUAAUGCUGCAGUACUGUGUGGUGGAGGAUAACUGGCAGUACGAACAGGAUUGGCAAUUGCGUUAUGUCAUCCACACCCUAUUAUGGCGUCUGGCAGUACGAUCAGGAUUGGCAAUUGCGUUAUGUCAUCCACACCUUAUUAUGGCGUCUGGCAGUACGAUCAAUAUUGGCAUUUGCGUAAACCUCAUAACUAAUGAGCGUACCCAAUUAAGGUAAUCUGGCAGUGCCCCAUUUCUAUAGGUAACCAUCUGCGAUUAUUGGUAAAUCCUUAUGCACUAGAAAUAAGGAAGGGCACUCUUAAAAUAUAUAUAUUUUUAAUUAUCCCACAAAAUACCGCAAACUACUUUGAUAACUGCGCUCUACAAUCAACUCUCGAUUUUCUGCGCAUACAUUUAUCGGGUCGCGUAAAAAAUGGAGACAACGGCAUUUACCUACUACGGCUUUUUAUUUCUUCAACAACCCAGCAGCUGAAUGUGGCUAAGUAUCAUUUUACUAUCUAAAUUACUAUUGAUAUUGCUAGUGUUCUAAAUAUCUGGGCUGUGAUCUGCUCAAUAUAGUUUCUGCUAGACUUCAGAAACAAAAGGAAGGGUUAAAUGUAAGUGUGCUUAUUCACGUAUUAUCAAAUGGUAUAGCUGUUUAGAAAAGUAAAGUUAAUUGUUGCGCAAAUGCUACCAUAAACCUUUGACUUUUGAAUAAAUCAAACUAAGCACAAGGCAACUAAGAUACGUGGUGACCAAGAACUCUUAUAUUGAUGUUCAGUUUAUUAUUGGUGAGGCAGUGAUGUAAAGCGCGUUGUGGUGUUUUUAAAUGGAUGAAUGUUGUGCUAACAGACGGGGGGGAAACUCCAGGCCUUGCAGUCCUGAUCCUGUAUGAUGCAGAAGAUGUCAAUCCAACCGCACAUUGAUCUCUGCAGCGUGGUCGGUGGGAGGAGAUGUGGCCGAGCAGGUGAACCAGGCUCUAUCGGUACCCGAUGCCCUUGGCUGAUGGAGGAACUGCAUCUGGAGGACGACCAUGAAUCUACCUGCCAACAGGUGGUACUGGUUUGCACUGGUUUGCAUGAACUGAACAUGGUGGACAUGAGGCAAAUUCCCUGCUUUUUGCUCCAGACCAGGACUCUGUGAGGGGUGGUGAUGGAGCCGUGCUGAGGACCCGCUGGUGAAGGACGUCCCUCGGUGGGGGGGCAAGGACAGCCGACCCUGAGGAUCCGCUCGGAUCUACGAUCGCUACGAUGCGACUGCAGAGGUCUCUGGAAGACCAGGAGUCCUUGGCUGAGGAGAGCUGAUGGAGGAGCCGUGCACCUGGAGAACCAUGAGUCUGCCUGCCAACAAGUAGUACUGACAUUGAGGCCAAACGGCCCCGUUUGUCCCCAAACAGGGAUAGGGAGGUGAUGGAGGACCUGCCUGGUGAAGUACGUCAGGGUGGGGCGAGUGACACCCAGUGGACUCCAAGGGGAUAUCCACUGAGGAGAGAGCUGAAGGAGCCAUACAUCUGGAAGUUGAAAUGCUGUGUCCAGUCUGGGACAGACAGACCUGAGCUGCGUCAAGCCUGUAUCUCUGACCAGCUGGAGUCCCUUAGUGAUCAACAACCGCCACUCAUCGCUGGCCUGUGGAUUCAUCUCCUUCACACUCACACAACAGGACUUUGGCCUGUGGAUUCAUCUCCUCCACACUCACACAACAGGACUUUGGCCUGUGGAUUCAUCUCCUCCACACUCACACAACAGGACUUUGGCCUGUGGAUUCAUCUCCUCCACACUCACGCAACGUGACCUUCUCACCAUCUGUUGCACGUUUCGAUGCACCUAGCGUGUUCCAUCGAGGGUUCCUUCCUCCCCACAGUGGGAGGGUUCCUUGUCCUUCAAGGCGUCGGGGUUCAGUGUUAGGGACAGAGUUAGGGACAGAUGGCUGCGCUGGAUUCACGAUACACGCUUUGUGAUCAAAAUGGGUUCGGACAUCGGACAAAUCGCUUCCCAAAAUGUUUCAAUGUGCAAACGAUUUUAUAAAAUGUAUACUCGUGGUGUUUAUAUAAA